rnacentral:rRNA from 1 species
AUGCUCUAUGCUGUGAAUGAAGCGUCAAGAAUGGGGUGCCAAAAAGUCAUCUUAGAGACGGAUGCAGUUGCUCUAAAGCAGGCAAUCACAAGCGACCUUUACGACUACUCAAGCCUAGGCGUGCUGUUUAAAGAGAUAAGAGCAGUGUUGCAAUCAGCUUUUCAAUCUUGUAAAGUAGAAACCUGCCCACGGGCAUGUAAUAUUUCUGCACACUGUUUAGCUGCUCAUGGUGUAUGUAUGGAGCGGAAGAGCUAUCAGAUUUGGCUUGAUCCGUUUCCGAGCCAUGUAAAAAAACUUGUCGCUGGCGAGUCCAGCUUGCCUGGGUAA